rnacentral:misc_RNA from 1 species
AAAUAUUCAGUCCAUUUUCUGGAGCUGAUCCAAAGGCAUAGAGUAAAAUUGUAAAAAUUAUAAGAAGUUAAAGAUUUUUCCUAAUUACAAAGACAAAGAGUAGAGGUAUUGAUCUCUGUGAUUCUUAUUGAUCUCUUUAAUUCCUUGCAUCAUAAUGGAUUUCAUGUUUUUUUGAUAAAUGAUGCUUGUAUCUCUUUAUUCCUUGCUUCAUUGUGGAGUCUACGGGCUUGCGAUUAAGAUAUGUCUAAGAACAGAAAUUAAAGUGAAAUUUUGGUAUAAUUUUAGUUUGAUUCUUUAUUGUUUAGAUUCUGAUUCAGUAUGAUUAU